rnacentral:rRNA from 1 species
UGACGAGCGGCGGACGGGUGAGUAAUGUCUGGGAAACUGCCUGAUGGAGGGGGAUAACUACUGGAAACGGUAGCUAAUACCGCAUAACGUCGCAAGACCAAAGUGGGGGACCUUCGGGCCUCAUGCCAUCAGAUGUGCCCAGAUGGGAUUAGCUAGUAGGUGGGGUAACGGCUCACCUAGGCGACGAUCCCUAGCUGGUCUGAGAGGAUGACCAGCCACACUGGAACUGAGACACGGUCCAGACUCCUACGGGAGGCAGCAGUGGGGAAUAUUGCACAAUGGGCGCAAGCCUGAUGCAGCCAUGCCGCGUGUGUGAAGAAGGCCUUCGGGUUGUAAAGCACUUUCAGCGGGGAGGAAGGCGGUAAGGUUAAUAACCUUGUCGAUUGACGUUACCCGCAGAAGAAGCACCGGCUAACUCCGUGCCAGCAGCCGCGGUAAUACGGAGGGUGCAAGCGUUAAUCGGAAUUACUGGGCGUAAAGCGCACGCAGGCGGUCUGUCAAGUCGGAUGUGAAAUCCCCGGGCUCAACCUGGGAACUGCAUUCGAAACUGGCAGGCUAGAGUCUUGUAGAGGGGGGUAGAAUUCCAGGUGUAGCGGUGAAAUGCGUAGAGAUCUGGAGGAAUACCGGUGGCGAAGGCGGCCCCCUGGACAAAGACUGACGCUCAGGUGCGAAAGCGUGGGGAGCAAACAGGAUUAGAUACCCUGGUAGUCCACGCCGUAAACGAUGUCGAUUUGGAGGUUGUGCCCUUGAGGCGUGGCUUCCGGAGCUAACGCGUUAAAUCGACCGCCUGGGGAGUACGGCCGCAAGGUUAAAACUCAAAUGAAUUGACGGGGGCCCGCACAAGCGGUGGAGCAUGUGGUUUAAUUCGAUGCAACGCGAAGAACCUUACCUGGUCUUGACAUCCACAGAACUUUCCAGAGAUGGAUUGGUGCCUUCGGGAACUGUGAGACAGGUGCUGCAUGGCUGUCGUCAGCUCGUGUUGUGAAAUGUUGGGUUAAGUCCCGCAACGAGCGCAACCCUUAUCCUUUGUUGCCAGCGGUUAGGCCGGGAACUCAAAGGAGACUGCCAGUGAUAAACUGGAGGAAGGUGGGGAUGACGUCAAGUCAUCAUGGCCCUUACGACCAGGGCUACACACGUGCUACAAUGGCAUAUACAAAGAGAAGCGACCUCGCGAGAGCAAGCGGACCUCAUAAAGUAUGUCGUAGUCCGGAUUGGAGUCUGCAACUCGACUCCAUGAAGUCGGAAUCGCUAGUAAUCGUAGAUCAGAAUGCUACGGUGAAUACGUUCCCGGGCCUUGUACACACCGCCCGUCACACCAUGGGAGUGGGUUGCAAAAGAAGUAGGUAGCUUAACCUUCGGGAGGGCGCUUACCACUUUGUGAUUCAUGACUGGGGUGAAGUCGUAACAAGGUAACCGUAGGGGAACCUGCGGUUGGAUCACCUCCUUACCUUAAAGAA